rnacentral:rRNA from 1 species
ACGAACGCUGGCGGCGUGCUUCACACAUGCAAGUCGAACGGAAAGGCCUCUUUCGGGGGGUACUCGAGUGGCGAACGGGUGAGUAACACGUGAGUAACCUGCCCUUGACUUUGGGAUAACUUCAGGAAACUGGGGCUAAUACCGGAUAGGAGCUCCUGCUGCAUGGUGGGGGUUGGAAAGUUUCGGCGGUUGGGGAUGGACUCGCGGCUUAUCAGCUUGUUGGUGGGGUAGUGGCUUACCAAGGCUUUGACGGGUAGCCGGCCUGAGAGGGUGACCGGCCACAUUGGGACUGAGAUACGGCCCAGACUCCUACGGGAGGCAGCAGUGGGGAAUAUUGCACAAUGGGUGGAAGCCUGAUGCAGCAACGCCGUGUGCGGGAUGACGGCCUUCGGGUUGUAAACCGCUUUCGCUCAUGACGAAGCUUUGUGUGACGGUAGUGGGUAAAGAAGCACCGGCUAACUACGUG